rnacentral:rRNA from 1 species
UACGAAGGGGGGCUAGCGUUGCUCGGAAUCACUGGGCGUAAAGCGCACGUAGGCGGUUUGCUAAGUCAGGGGUGAAAUCCUGGAGCUCAACUCCAGAACUGCCUUUGAUACUGGCGGACUUGAGUCCGGGAGAGGUGAGUGGAACUGCGAGUGUAGAGGUGAAAUUCGUAGAUAUUCGCAAGAACACCAGUGGCGAAGGCGGCUCACUGGCCCGGUACUGACGCUGAGGUGCGAAAGCGGUGGGAGCAAACAGG